UAACAGGUUAAGCUGACGAGUGGCGAACGGGUGAGUAAUGUAUCGGAACGUGCCCAGUCGUGGGGGAUAACUGCUCGAAAGAGCAGCUAAUACCGCAUACGACCUGAGGGUGAAAGCGGGGGAUCGCAAGACCUCGCGCGAUUGGAGCGGCCGAUAUCAGAUUAGGUAGUUGGUGAGGUAAAGGCUCACCAAGCCGACGAUCUGUAGCUGGUCUGAGAGGACGACCAGCCACACUGGGACUGAGACACGGCCCAGACUCCUACGGGAGGCAGCAGUGGGGAAUUUUGGACAAUGGGCGCAAGCCUGAUCCAGCCAUGCCGCGUGCGGGAAGAAGGCCUUCGGGUUGUAAACCGCUUUUGUCAGGGAAGAAAAGGUUCUGGCUAAUACCUGGGACUCAUGACGGUACCUGAAGAAUAAGCACCGGCUAACUACGUGCCAGCAGCCGCGGUAAUACGUAGGGUGCAAGCGUUAAUCGGAAUUACUGGGCGUAAAGCGUGCGCAGGCGGUUAUGCAAGACAGAGGUGAAAUCCCCGGGCUCAACCUGGGAACUGCCUUUGUGACUGCAUGGCUAGAGUACGGUAGAGGGGGAUGG
rnacentral:rRNA from 1 species